CACGUAGGCACCAAGCGUUGUCCGGAUUUAUUGGGCGUAAAGAGCUCGUAGGCGGUUCGGUAAGUCGGGUGUGAAAACUUUGGGCUCAACCCAAAGCGUGCACUCGAUACUGCCAUGACUAGAGUUCGGUAGGGGAGUGGGGAAUUCCUAGUGUAGCGGUGAAAUGCGCAGAUAUUAGGAGGAACACCGGUGGCGAAGGCGCCACGCUGGGCCGAUACUGACGCUGAGGAGCGAAAGCGAGGGGAGCAAACAGG
rnacentral:rRNA from 1 species